CCAGACAGCCAGGAUGUUGGCUUAGAAGCAGCCAUCAUUUAAAGAAAGCGUAAUAGCUCACUGGUCGAGUCGGCCUGCGCGGAAGAUGUAACGGGGCUAAACCAUGCACCGAAGCUGCGGCAGCGACACUAUGUGUUGUUGGGUAGGGGAGCGUUCUGUAAGCCUGCGAAGGUGUACUGUGAGGUAUGCUGGAGGUAUCAGAAGUGCGAAUGCUGACAUAAGUAACGAUAAAGCGGGUGAAAAGCCCGCUCGCCGGAAGACCAAGGGUUCCUGUCCAACGUUAAUCGGGGCAGGGUGAGUCGACCCCUAAGGCGAGGCCGAAAGGCGUAGUCGAUGGGAAACAGGUUAAUAUUCCUGUACUUGGUGUUACUGCGAAGGGGGGACGGAGAAGGCUAUGUUGGCCGGGCGACGGUUGUCCCGGUUUAAGCGUGUAGGCUGGUUUUCCAGGCAAAUCCGGAAAAUCAAGGCUGAGGCGUGAUGACGAGGCACUACGGUGCUGAAGCAACAAAUGCCCUGCUUCCAGGAAAAGCCUCUAAGCAUCAGGUAACAUCAAAUCGUACCCCAAACCGACACAGGUGGUCAGGUAGAGAAUACCAAGGCGCUUGAGAGAACUCGGGUGAAGGAACUAGGCAAAAUGGUGCCGUAACUUCGGGAGAAGGCACGCUGAUACGUAGGUGAAGCGACUUGCUCGUGGAGCUGAAAUCAGUCGAAGAUACCAGCUGGCUGCAACUGUUUAUUAAAAACACAGCACUGUGCAAACACGAAAGUGGACGUAUACGGUGUGACGCCUGCCCGGUGCCGGAAGGUUAAUUGAUGGGGUUAGCGGUAACGCGAAGCUCUUGAUCGAAGCCCCGGUAAACGGCGGCCGUAACUAUAACGGUCCUAAGGUAGCGAAAUUCCUUGUCGGGUAAGUUCCGACCUGCACGAAUGGCGUAAUGAUGGCCAGGCUGUCUCCACCCGAGACUCAGUGAAAUUGAACUCGCUGUGAAGAUGCAGUGUACCCGCGGCAAGACGGAAAGACCCCGUGAACCUUUACUAUAGCUUGACACUGAACAUUGAGCCUUGAUGUGUAGGAUAGGUGGGAGGCUUUGAAGUGUGGACGCCAGUCUGCAUGGAGCCGACCUUGAAAUACCACCCUUUAAUGUUUGAUGUUCUAACGUUGGCCCGUUAUCCGGGUUGCGGACAGUGUCUGGUGGGUAGUUUGACUGGGGCGGUCUCCUCCUAAAGAGUAACGGAGGAGCACGAAGGUUGGCUAAUCCUGGUCGGACAUCAGGAGGUUAGUGCAAUGGCAUAAGCCAGC
rnacentral:rRNA from 1 species